GAGCGAAGCGCUUCGUUUUGAAUCUUCGGAGGAAGAACGGAAUGACUGAGCGGCGGACGGGUGAGUAACGCGUGGGCAACCUGCCUCAUACAGGGGGAUAACAGUUAGAAAUGACUGCUAAUACCGCAUAAGACCGCGGUACCGCAUGGUACAGCGGUAAAAACUCCGGUGGUAUGAGAUGGGCCCGCGUCUGAUUAGCUAGUUGGCGGGGUAACGGCCCACCAAGGCGACGAUCAGUAGCCGACCUGAGAGGGUGACCGGCCACAUUGGGACUGAGACACGGCCCAAACUCCUACGGGAGGCAGCAGUGGGGAAUAUUGCACAAUGGGGGAAACCCUGAUGCAGCGACGCCGCGUGAGCGAUGAAGUAUUUCGGUAUGUAAAGCUCUAUCAGCAGGGAAGAAGAUGACGGUACCUGACUAAGAAGCCCCGGCUAACUACGUGCCAGCAGCCGCGGUAAUACGUAGGGGGCAAGCGUUAUCCGGAUUUACUGGGUGUAAAGGGAGCGUAGACGGCGGUGCAAGCCAGAUGUGAAAGCCCGGGGCUCAACCCCGGGACUGCAUUUUGGAACUGUAUGGCUGGAAUUGUCGGAGGGGCAGGCGGAAUUCUUAGUGUAGCGGUGAAAUGCGUAGAUAUUGGGAGGAACACCAGUGGCGAAGGCGGCCUGCUGGACGAUGACUGACGUUGAGGCUCGAAAGCGUGGGGAGCAAACAGGAUUAGAUACCCCGGUAGUCCACGCCGUAAACGAUGACUACUAGGUGUCGGGCAGCAAAGCUGUUCGGUGCCGCAGCCAACGCAAUAAGUAGUCCACCUGGGGAGUACGUUCGCAAGAAUGAAACUCAAAGGAAUUGACGGGAACCCGCACAAGCGGUGGAGCAUGUGGUUUAAUUCGAAGCAACGCGAAGAACCUUACCUGGCCUUGACAUCCCUAUGACAGCUUUUUAAUCGAAGUUUUCCUUCGGGACAGAGGAGACAGGUGGUGCAUGGUUGUCGUCAGCUCGUGUCGUGAGAUGUUGGGUUAAGUCCCGCAACGAGCGCAACCCCUAUCUUUAGUAGCCAGCAUUUCAGGUGGGCACUCUAGAGAGACUGCCAGGGACAACCUGGAGGAAGGUGGGGAUGACGUCAAAUCAUCAUGCCCCUUAUGGCCAGGGCUACACACGUGCUACAAUGGCGUAAACAAAGGGAAGCGAGACCGUGAGGUGGAGCAAAUCCCAGAAAUAACGUCUCAGUUCGGAUUGUAGUCUGCAACUCGACUACAUGAAGCUGGAAUCGCUAGUAAUCGCGAAUCAGA
rnacentral:rRNA from 1 species